UUGGAACAUCAUCAUAGGCAGUCAUUGUGACAGCCCUGGGUGGGAGGGACUGCUUUUUUCAUAUGAAGGACUGGGGCACAGAGUGACCCGCCCAAGAUCACACAGCUUCAGAUGGAGGCCCGUAGGCUACAGAGCCCAGCUCCCUGCCGCUGCGUGGAGAAGAACCUUUCCCAGCUGUGGCCAGAGAGAGAUGUGACACCAGGGAAAGGAUCAGAGAGUGGCUGAAGACAGAGGGAGGGGCCAAGAGUCAAGGAACAUAAGUGACUUCGGGAAGAUGGAAAAUGCAGGAAACAGAAUCUCCCCUAAAGGCCCCAGAAAAACAGCAUAGUCCUGCCUACUCCUUGAUUUUAACCCAGUGAGACCCAUGUCAGACUUCUGCCUAUGGAACUGUAAGAUGAUAAUAAAUGUGUGUUGUUUUAAGCCACAAGGUUUGUGCUGAUUUGUUAUGACAGCGGUAGCAAAUGAAUCUCGUGCCUCAGUCAGUACAAGUUUGAUCAUAUAAAUUUAGAGAUGAUAUGUAUAUGCUUGUAGUGUGUAAUUUCCUAAUGACAGGGGCCACUGAAU
rnacentral:lncRNA from 1 species